AGUGAACGCUGGCGGUAGGCCUAACACAUGCAAGUCGAACGGCAGCACAGUAAGAGCUUGCUCUUACGGGUGGCGAGUGGCGGACGGGUGAGGAAUACAUCGGAAUCUACUUUUUCGUGGGGGAUAACGUAGGGAAACUUACGCUAAUACCGCAUACGACCUACGGGUGAAAGCAGGGGAUCUUCGGACCUUGCGCGAUUGAAUGAGCCGAUGUCGGAUUAGCUAGUUGGCGGGGUAAAGGCCCACCAAGGCGACGAUCCGUAGCUGGUCUGAGAGGAUGAUCGGCCACACUGGAACUGAGACACGGUCCAGACUCCUACGGGAGGCAGCAGUGGGGAAUAUUGGACAAUGGGCGCAAGCCUGAUCCAGCCAUACCGCGUGGGUGAAGAAGGCCUUCGGGUUGUAAAGCCCUUUUUUUGGGAAAGAAAAGCAGCAGGUUAAUACCCCGCUGUUCUGACGGUACCCAAAGAAUAAGCACCGGCUAACUUCGUG
rnacentral:rRNA from 1 species